GGAUGUGAGGGCGAUCUGGAUGCGAUAUCUGGUCACCCCAUUGAUCGCCAGUAUUGCUUUGGCUGAUCUGGCUAUCUAGGCGCGUGUCCCCUUCCUCCCUCACCACUCCAUGUGCGUCCCUCCAGAAGCUGCGCGCUGUGUCCAAGAGCACGACCACCCCGGAUAGAGGAGGACCUUUUCCUCAGUCAAGGAUAUAUGAGUAGCGGCACUCCCCUGCUAGAACCUCCAAACAGGAGCUCUCCAGAAUCUCAAAGUAAGUUUUCGAUGAACAAUAGCUUUAUUGUUUUUGGUU
ensembl:misc_RNA 7SK 7SK RNA